rnacentral:rRNA from 1 species
CUGUACUUGGUGUUACUGCGAAGGGGGGACGGAGAAGGCUAUGUUAGCCGGGCGACGGUUGUCCCGGUUUAAGCAUGUAGGCUGGUUGUCCAGGCAAAUCCGGAUAAUCAAGGCUGAGGUGUGAUGACGAGGCACUACGGUGCUGAAGUAACAAAUGCCCUGCUUCCAGGAAAAGCCUCUAAGCAUCAGGUAACAUCAAAUCGUACCCCAAACCGACACA